CCUACGGGGGACAGCAGUGAGGAAUAUUGGUCAAUGGACGCAAGUCUGAACCAGCCAUGCCGCGUGCAGGAAGACGGCUCUAUGAGUUGUAAACUGCUUUUGUACGAGGGUAAACGCAGAUACGCGUAUCUGUCUGAAAGUAUCGUACGAAUAAGGAUCGGCUAACUCCGUGCCAGCAGCCGCGGUAAUACGGAGGAUCCAAGCGUUCUCCGGAUUUAUUGGGUUUAAAGGGUGCGUAGGCGGUCGGAUAAGUUAGUGGUGAAAUCCCGAGGCUCAACUUCGAAAUUGCCACUGAUACUGGUAGGCUAGAGAAUAGUUGCGGUAGGCGGAAUGUAUGGUGUAGCGGUGAAAUGCUUAGAGAUCACAAAGAAACCCGAUUGCGAAGGCAGCUUACCAAGCUACGUCUGACGUUGAGGCACGAAAGCGUGGGGAGCAAACAGGAUUAGAUACCCGUGUAGUC
rnacentral:rRNA from 1 species